UUAGUGUGUGUGAUUGACAGCUGCUGAUUGACAGCAGUGGGCGGGCAUAAUCUAUUUAUAUGAAUGGACCCUUGCUUCCUGUCUCGUUUCCGCCACACAUUGUUUUGGCGUGAGCCUGGGCUGCGUUUGUUGCCGAGGGGCCGCAGAUGAACCGUGAGGUGCGGCGUUCACUCAGCACUUGUGAUCGCUUGGGAGCGCACUGAUAAACUCCAAGGAGCUAGGAGCUGUGUGGACACUGGUUGGCCUGCUCGUGGAGGUAGUUGGUGUGGCGUGGUGAUCCUCGAAAGCGUUGUGCUGGUGACUCGCGUGUCUGAGCCUUCAUCCGCGGCCCCUCCGGCACGAACCAACCAGUGUGUCUGUGCCUACGGGUCUGUCGGCUGCUGUUUCGCCUGGGACAAUUUGGGUUUGAGUCUCCCCUUGCUUUGCACCUGCCGCGCUGUGGCUUGGCCGUGCUUCGCUGGGUACGGGGAGGAAUUGCGCUUGUAGCCACGCUUGCCCCUUCACCUCGCUUUGCCUGCACGGAGCGUGCAUGUCUGUCGUAACUGUCCGAGGGUGCGCGGUUUCAGUGGCUCCGCCUGCUUUUUACCCAUUUUGUGCUGUGCCUUAUUUAUUUUCAUUUCAUUUAUUUCUGCAUGUUUAUUGUGUGUCUUUAUUUUCGUUUGCUGUGCUGCUGCAUGCUUAUUUGUUUGCUUUGCUUCUGCAUGCUGCUUACUCUGCUAGGUUUGCUGCUUUGCAUGACUCUUUAACUGCUUGUGUGCCAGUGUAGCUAGACCCUGUUAUUCAGGGCUUUAUAUGUGUGCAGUGCUUAUUUUGUUUAUUUAUGUUUCUUUUCAGUUUACUUAUUUGUGUGUUUGGGGUUAAUGUGGGAUUGGGGAAAAUUAUGACUGCCAGCCUCUCCAGCAGUUUGGAGUGUGUCAAGGGCGUGUGAGUGAUGUGAGUGAUAACGUGUAUUGUUUUAUAGUGUGGUGGAACAUGGUAUAUAGUGCAUCGACAGCCUGGUGGUAGAAGGAAGUUCCUGCGUGUGCACACGAUAUAAGAUAAGUAGUACUGCAGAUCCAUAUAGGUUUAGUGAUCUCAGUAGUGCCCCAGGCUGUUUCUCUCUCUCUCUCUCUCUCUCUCUCUCUCUCUCUCUCUCUCUCUCUCUCUCUCUCUCUCUCUCUCUCUCUCUCUCUCUCUCUCUCUCUCUCUCUCUCUCUCUCUCUCUCUCUCUCUCUCGUGUUCCACCCACUAUUGUGCCUUGUGCUCAUAAAGAGCUUGCUAUUUUGCACAUUUUAUUUAUGAUUCAUGUUUGUACAACAAUAAAAGAGAAAUAUAUUUGGGAUCCCGUC